rnacentral:lncRNA from 1 species
GGACACCGUCCUCCUAGAGUUCAAAUCCUGGGCAGUUAUGCUGGGCCUGCUCAGAACGAGCUUUCUGCGAACUCCCCUGGACUCCUGCUUCCUCUUUCCCGCCCCUGUAGGUGAAAGGGCAGCUGCGACUUGCCUUUUCUUCCCAAUCCAAAUGCAGCUUGCAAUCCAGAGCUGGAAGACUGGGAAAGGGAGGCGGAAUGCCACCUGUGCCUGCACCACACUGCUACUGGCUAGUCACCCCACGGGGACAGCCAUGGGGACAGCUGUGCAGUCUGGACGCAGUGACCCAGGGCUGACCUUGCAGAAGACAGGGAAGCUCUGGCACAGCAGAGCUACCUUGGGCCUCAAUUCCUGAGUGCAUGGCCUGGUGAGAGAGGGGACAGAGGAGGCAGGGAAAAGAACAGGGAGAACACCAUAAUAAAGUCAUUUUCAUCCAUCACUGAGCCCAGUAACUCUUAACCUUUUGGGUGGGGCUCCCCCUGAGAAUCUAAUAAAGAGUUAUGGAAACUGUCCUUGGAAAAGUGUGUGCACACAAAAUUUCAAAGAACUCAUGGAGUCCCUGAGUCCCAUCUGUGCAGCCUGGGAAGUCCCUAAGGUUUUUGCUGAUCAGAAAGAGGCCCAGAAAGAGAGGUGGCUUGCCGCGGUUCCCACUCUGACUUGCAGUAGUGCCUGUGCAUGCAGGAACCCAACAGGCUCAAAGUGACUGGCGAGUGGUUCCCCUUGAGUGACACAUACACACUA